ACCCCAACGACUAUGACAUCCCAUUUUCUCUUUGCUUACCCAACAAUACCCACUACUUUCAAAUUUCCAAUAUUCUUCUUCCACAGCCCCUCAGUCUUCCACCCUGUCAUAGACCAGAAUGGCAGCCACUUCUUUCUCCAGCAUCCCUCUGAUCUCUUCAUUGUACACCGUUACUAUUGUUGUUGAGGCUGCAACCUUUGAGCUCGAUGCCGAUCUGCUCACUUCUCCUCUCUUCGCUGCUGCUGUGCUCUCUACUCUCCCCUUUCGAGUCGCUAGCUCUGCA